UCACUAUGAUGAAAGGUCCAAACAUUCGCAGUUUCCACCAGAAUAUUAAGACAUGUUGGUAGUUUAUACCUUCCUUGGAUGUCUGAGUGA
rnacentral:snoRNA from 1 species